rnacentral:rRNA from 1 species
AACGAACGCUGGCGGCGCGCCUAAUACAUGCAAGUCGAGCGAGAAGACGUAGCAAUACGUUUGUAAAGCGGCGAACGGGUGAGGAAUACAUGGGUAACCUACCCUCGAGUGGGGAAUAACUAGCCGAAAGGUUAGCUAAUACCGCGUACGCUCCUUGGACUUCGGUUCAGGGAGGAAAGCGAUACCGUGGGUAUCGCGCUCUUGGAUGGGCUCAUGUCCUACCAGCUUGUUGGUGAGGUAACGGCUCACCAAGGCUUCGACGGGUAGCUGGUCUGAGAGGACGAUCAGCCACACUGGCACUGCGACACGGGCCAGACUCCUACGGGAGCAGCAGUAAGGAUAUUGCGCAAUGGGCGAAAGCCUGACGCAGCGACGCCGCGU